rnacentral:rRNA from 2 species
UUAAAUUGAAGAGUUUGAUCAUGGCUCAGAUUGAACGCUGGCGGCAGGCCU